ACUACGAGUUUGAUCCUGGCUCAGAUUGAACGCUGGCGGCAUGCCUUACACAUGCAAGUCGAACGGUAACGCGGGGCAACCUGGGCGACGAGUGGCGAACGGGUGAGUAAUAUAUCGGAACGUGCCCAGUAGUGGGGGAUAGCCCGGCGAAAGCCGGAUUAAUACCGCAUACGACCUAAGGGUGAAAGCGGGGGAUCGCAAGACCUCGCGCUAUUGGAGCGGCCGAUAUCAGAUUAGGUAGUUGGUGGGGUAAAGGCCUACCAAGCCGACGAUCUGUAGCUGGUCUGAGAGGACGACCAGCCACACUGGGACUGAGACACGGCCCAGACUCCUACGGGAGGCAGCAGUGGGGGAAUUUUGGACAAUGGGCGCAAGCCUGAUCCAGCCAUGCCGCGUGCGGGAAGAAGGCCUUCGGGUUGUAAACCGCUUUUGCCAGGGGAUAAAAAGACCAUGCGUGGUCAAUUGAAGGUACCUGGUGAAUAAGCCACGGCUAACUACGUG
rnacentral:rRNA from 1 species